AUUAUUACCAAAUGCCAUACUUACAUUUGUACUAUUGGUUGCUACAAGAGAUCAGGUAGAUGUUUGAGAGCUGUGCUGCUGCCACCAUGAAAUAUACUGCUAUGAGUGGACUGUGCUUCCACAUAAGGCUAUGGUGACAUCUGGACCCAUGCUGCUACAAGGAUGUAUCUAGAGAACUGGGUUUGUUUCCUAGAACUAACAUGGAACUUUACAACUAUAUGUGAACUACAGUCCCAGAAGAUCCAACACCUUCUCUGACCCUCCACAGAUCCUACUUUAUGGAGAUUAUAUUGCAAUUAUUUACAAAAGCUUAAUUGAGUCAUCAGCGGAUACACAGUUGAAGUCAAUGUCCAUCCUUCUCACAGAUGAUUCAACAUUAUGCUAUUCUUUACCUUCUUUAUGUUCAUCUUCCAUGAUAUAUCAUGUGCUAGCUGAACGUAUUUCACAAGAGGAACGCCAUUUAAACAUUGCAUAAUAUAACCUCAUGACAAGUAAGAAAGCUAUGUAAUGAUCUCUAGAGGGUCUUAAAAAUGGUUUCUAUUAAAUCAAUAGCUACUUAUAAUGAAUCACUAAGGAAGCAAAUUACAGUGACAAGUAACUUAUUUUCACUAUCAAUGAUAUUCUUUUAUACUUGUAGAUAGGCUUCUAGCAUAAUUGUCCUCUGAGAAGUCACACUCAGCUGCAGACUGAAACAGAUACAGGAAAAACAACCGAACAUUGAAUGAAGCUUUUGUUUUCUUAUGGAAAUAUUGGGGAAAGGAUUAAAGGUAAUAAGUAAUUAGUAAUAAGAAUUCCUUAGGAAAACAAAGAGUCAACUAUCCUGAGCUUUGAGGGCUCCCAGAAAGUGAACAAAAAAGGCAUAUGAAGAUGUUUCAAUACUGUUUACUACCUUUAAGCAGACUAGUGCA